UUUGAGUAGCCUCCAUGUUUUCCAGAGUGGCCGCACCAGUUUGCAUUCCCACCAACAGUGUAAGAGGGUCCCCACGGAUUGUUACCAGUAGUCUCUUAACUGUUUUUUAUGCCUCCUGUUUGGACCCCUCCAGUCAUUCUUCUCAUUGCAAGCAAAAUGAUAUUUAGGAAACAAAAGCUGAUCAUGUCAUUCUCUUACUAACAGUUUUUCAGUUGAUUUCCCAUUGUCUUCAGACAAUGAGGUACGACUCCUUAACAUAUUUCAAAAGACCCUUCAUUAAUGUCAUCUCUUGCUAUCUCUCUCUGGUACACUGCUUAGCCAUAGUGAAACAUAGUCUUUUUUUCCUCUUCUCAAUCUAUUAAAGUACCUCUCACUGCUCAUCUUAAGGCCUUCCCCUUGCUUAGACCAUUCAUUCUGCAUUCCUUUGCCUUAUUCUGAGUAAGGCUUAGGGAGCCCACCUCCUCCCUCCUCAGGGUGCCACAGUAUAGCACCCUCGUUCACAUUCCCACAGAACCCAGUUUUCUCAGUGUAGCACUUUGAUUUUACUGUGUUGCAUUUUUAAAUGUUAUUUUAUCUAUUCCCUACUAGGUUAUAAGUUGUUUUACUUUCACCUUUUAAUCCCCAGAAAUAGCAAAUACCUUACCUAAUAAAUAAUAAAUAUUUGUGGAUGAUCUUGUACUCCCGAUACCAUUGCCUACCUUAUAAUAAGCUCCUUAUUAAUCUGGCUACUGACUGUUCCAUCAUUGCAUAGAUUUCAUCCUGAUGUUCAUGAAAGCUUAUCAGCAAUCACUCACUGAGUUGUAUUAUGCCGCAGACCCUGUAGCAGUCAUCUAUAUGAAAUCUCAGUUGCUUUUCCUUAGGUAUAAGGACCGCAGUGUCCUCCAUGAAGUAGAGUGUCCAAGCAUUCUAUCACUACAGGGAUUCCAUAAUCUAAUUUUGAAAAAAUAAAGUGUAGAUAUCGAAACUUCUGUAGAUGAAUGAAAUCUCAGAGAUAGAGCCUAGGAUAGCUCAGAAAGGGCCAUUUCCCACAAAGUUUCCAAUAAAACAUAUUUUAAUGACUCAAAAAUAAUCUGGAAUUCUUUGUUUAGGAAACCCGCCUUGUAGAGUGACAGUUUCAUAAUUUCCACAGCUGUAUGAGCUGCUAAGUGUUCAUUGAAUAUACUUCCCAUCUCCCACCAUGUUCUGGAGAUUUGGAGAUUUGAAGAGACAGGGGGAGAGGGAUGUCUUCUCUGUCCUCAGGGAGAACCACAUCUUCUUAGGGAGGUAACAUACUUCUUCAUUAAUCAGUGAAGGUAUAAGGCAGCUAAAAGCAUGGUACUUGCUUCAUUUAAAUACCUGGGUUUCCAGUUCUCUGGUAGGUGGACCAGAGGAAGCGUUAUAAAAGGUUAGAGUAUGAUGAGAGGCCCCAAAUCCGACGUGGAAAAUCUUAUGAUCAGGGACCAUAAUAAGAGUAGCAAUUGGUCACCAACCUAUAUAUCUUUACUGGCUUAGAAGCUGCAUUUCUUGUCUUGUUUUAUCCUCAGAGCAAGCCCUAACACUAAUAUAAUUAUUAGUAUUGCUGUUUUGAUGAUAAGCAGCAGAGUACCUCUGCUUUCUUACUAAAAUCCUGCUAGGGAAGUAUCUAUAUGCCUGUAAAUAUUUCCUUCUGGGAAUCUGAAUUGAUAAAAGCAAUAAAAUGGCUAAGUGAAUUUUGUUCUUAAAACAACAUGUAUCUUCUUAGCGUACGAUACUGUUGUGUGAAAAGUACCCAGCACACUGCUUAGUACAGUGACUGGUACUCAAAACAUGAAAGCCAUUAUGAUUGUAUUUAUACUUGAAAAUGAAAUUUUUGUUACACGCACACUCUAAAGAAUAUUUUUCUAUUAUUUGAUGUCAAGUACUGCUUUAGCGGCUCAGUUUCCUGUAGAAGCUUAUGAUGACGGAGAUCUUAUUAGUAUCAGAAGACUGAUACAUCUUUAAGAGGCUAUUGUGGUUUCACAUCUGCGUACAUGGGUUGGAAAAUGGAUGCUAUGUUUAUGGAUACUAUGCCUGAAGAAGUUAUCUGAACUUAUCUAACUCUAUCUAGAGUGAGAGGGUUGGAAUAGAAGAUAGUUAAAAGUCCCUUUCAGUACUAAGAGUCUAAGAAAUUUCCUUUCUCCAUUCAAUCUUCAUGAAAUACAGAGGUUAAGAACAUAAUCCCCUUUAUGCUACAUAUCACUCUUCAGUUUUAACAUCACCCCAGAAGCAUAUAAAUUUUCUUUAAAUGGCAAACAUUAUGGCCAAAGCCUCAUUUUAAGCUAAGACAUGUAUUGUUAAUUUCACCUGUAAUUAUUAGUGUAGAAAAUUUGUUUGUUUGACAAUGCAAUAGCUAAUAGUAUUAAAUGGGAAAAGACAUGUAUGGUUGAAAGUAUACAAACAGAAACAGAAAAUAAGCUUUUAAAUUAAAAAAAAAUCACCUUAAGAAAAAUACUUGUAAAAAACCCAAACCCAUCAAAAAUUAUUCUGAUUAUUCAAAAUAGUUUGACUUCACUAUACAAAACAAUUCAGUAUUUGUGUGUGUGUGUGGGGGGGGGAGUGAGUUAGAAAAUGUUGGUAAUUUGAUAGCCAUUUUCAGAGAGUUUCUCAGACACCAUGUUGUAGGCUUAUACCUCUAUACGUAUAUAUGACCUUACGUUAAAACUCUAAAAUUCUGAGCAUCCAGUGGGAAAAAACUUGCUCUAGUCCAGUGGUAUAUUAUAAACAUGAUUUUUGUCCAUCCUUUUUUUCAAGGUAUGCACAAAUAUUUAAUUUUCAAUGAGCUAAUAAUAUAUCCCUUAUAUUAUUUCUUUUACCAUGAUAUUACUUAAGUGUACUGUUUGGCAUAUUUAUUAUGUAUUUUAAAUUCCUAACUAUCACUACAUAUUGAAAAAGUCUGCAAGAAAUCUCUGCUAGAGGAACGUGGAGAAUUAAGGCCGUUUGCAAUUGACUUGGCACUUUGUAGAGCCCCUCCUUCUUUCUUUCCUUUCUUACUAUUUUUAGAUAAGUCACUUGACUACAUGCCUUCUGUGAAACCCUUGUUCAUUCCAUUUAACAUAUUUUAGUUUUGUGCACUGAACUAUGGUCAUGUUUCUUUUUUGUGUGUUAGGACCUAGCAAACCCAAAGAAACUUUCUGAACUUCUGGACUCUUGUGCGGCCCUCUGUUGGGAGGUAAUUAGAUCAUUAUGUAGUACACUAACAGAUUGAGUGUUUUCAUUCCCACACCAGCCCUCAGUCCCCACCUGUCAGCUGGGGAGAGACAAUCUCAUAAACCUGCCAAUACUAUGAUUUAGCUGAAUACAUGUUUGUUAAUAAAUCUUUCAUCAUAUUAUAAUCAAAGAACUCUUUCAGUUUAUGAUCCACCUAAUGAAGGAUUUGGGGUGUCUGCUCAUCAAUUUGAUGUUUGUAAAGACAAAGCUAACGGGUGUCAUUAGCGUAUAUUUACCCCUUGGCUCAGGUGAAGAGUGGAACAGGGAAGGUGGAAAAGGAAAUGAGAGAAAAUGUUAAUUAAAAAUAAACUCAUGGUGUCAGCCACAUACCUGUUACCUUGAAAAGUAAUGUCUUGCGAGAAAAAUCAAAUGUUUUGAUGUCUUUUAAAGUCUACUGAGCCACUAGGAUCUACAGCCAUUCUUUAUCAAAUGCCUUUCUCAAUGAUUUCACUGCCACCAUUAUCAUGCAAAGAAUUUGAUGUGGUUCUCUCCAUAGGGGAGUGUAAUUAUUAAUAUGGUGUGAGCGAAGUCUAGGACUUGCUAAGGCUUGCAGCCAUGCCAGGUACAAUAAUGAAAACUUGUACUGCCUUUUUUGAUAUCAAUGCUUUGUGUUCAGGUUUCAGUUUCACAGUUUCUUUGUGGUUAAAAUUAAAAUAAACUGAAAUAUUCUCCUGGUUAUCUUUCUUAAGGCAUUUAGGGUAGAUAUAAUGAUUGUAGUCCUGGUAUCUUUUAGGUAGAACACUGCAUACUCUAACCUCCCUGCCCCCCACUGAAAUAUGCCAAAGGUUUUAAUGACUGAAAAACAAAUAGAACGGGAUAUAUCAUUUUCUAAAGCUAUAAAGUAGUUUGUAACUUCUGCUGAAAACUCUUUAAAAUUAUACCCACCAUCUGCAUGAUGAAUUUCUCAUGGUGUUCUCUGCCCUGUCAAAACUUCUCUCUGUGGCCCAGUUCUUAGCUGCCAUUGACUGGGAUCCAGACAAAUAAAUCUAGGGAGAGAGACAGUACACUGACCUUGGUUUCCUAUGUGUUUCCUUCCAACUCUAGAGCAAGUUAUAUUUCAGCUCCACAAUCAACAAAUAGCUCUGAAAACCAAAUAGGCCACGCUGUUGGAAGUCAGAGUGAACGAGGUCAAAUAGAAGCCUCAACUGGCUGGAUAUAAAGUCUUCUCAACUCCUUUGUGGAAAUUUCCAGGCUUCACAUUCAUUCAUCAGGAUAUCCUCUUUGCACACACUUACCAUUAAAAUCUUUGGGCUGCUGCAGACUCCACCUGAAGAUGACACAGCUGUACCAGUGCUUCCAGCUGAUGGCUCUGUCCCUUUGCUGAGUCCCAUUCCUGUGAGGAUUUAGUCCAGCUGGGAGAAAAGGCAAUGCCCUGCUGCUACUUGGAGAGAAGUUUCUGAAGGACUGUCAGAUUCUCAUUUGGCUCCACCCUGGCAAAGCUUUCAGCAGAGGCCAAGGAUGAAGGCCCUGAAUCAGUCAGGAAAGGCACUGAGGGCCCAGAGCUCUUACUGUGAUGUCCUAGAAAGGAUCAGAAAGAGGAAAGCCUGUGAGAGUUUUCUCUGGAAAUGUCCCUCACCCACCACCCCAGGAAGGAGAGCAAUGGCUGCAUCCUUGGCACAUCACAAAUGCUCGUUGAUAACAUCUAUGUGACUCAACACUGGACAUCAGCAAUUUACAGAUAUGUUUAAAGGACCAACAGAGCGAGCACACAGCCAUUAGAAUCACCUUUCUUUCCAUCAAGUCUCAGGAUGUGCCUCCUUCCAAAACAUGAGCUGGACACAGUGGACAUGGAUAAUUACUCCUGUGAUACCAGCAGACAUAUGGUCUUGUGGCAACACUUGAGCUCACUGAGCCCAGAUCAAAGUGUGUGUCUUCCCAGUCUACCACAUCCCUUAGAUCAGAGUUGCUCUCAAGAGACGGGGUGAGUGUUUAAUAUAAAAUGAACAUAAGAACAAGAUGGCUAAUCUGUUCCUGGACUUUUCUGAGACCAGAAAGAAGGUGAUACAGAUGGCCCUGUGGAGACAUCAGCCACACUUGUCAUUUGGGUGUGUGCUUUAUGCUGCCUCCAAAUAUAGAUGAGCUUUGAUGUUUCUUCUGAAAAAAAUAUCUUCUUGGGAGUGUAACUGGGCCAACAAGCACGAGAGUGGCCCUGAACCAGGCUUUGUUCUGAGAUAGAAAUGGACCGUGAAAGUCCCAGCUAAAUGAUGCUGUAAACAUUCAGAGAAAGGGAGAAGAUACUUGCUCCAGUGAGUUAACUCUGGCUGUGAAACAAUUUCAACUCACCCACUCUUAAAGCAGCGGGCCCCUCUGAGUCUGCCAGUGGUUUACACAACGGCCUGAUUCCGCAGAGUAGAGAGUCACCCGGAGAAACAGAGCUCACAAACUCAUCUCUUUAAGAUGUGGUUUGCUGAGGGCUUCCCUGCCUGUGUUUUCAUGGUUAGCGACAAGACUGGGGAAGCCUAUCCAUGAUUGAGUAAUCUGUUUGAACUUCCAGCUCGGAGAUGGAGGAAACAGCUAUUCAUUUAAUCCUAUUCAUUUAUUCAUCUAUUCGUACAUUUAUUUAUUUAUAAGAUAUGUUUAAAGUGCUUGUUCCGUGUCACUUUAUUUUAGCCAUGGGGGACACAGAGUUAAAUAAGACAUAAGUUGCAGUGAGCUAACAGGCUGGUGGAGGAAACAAAGAUACAGGAGAUCACAACAAAGUGCAACAUAUUCUGUGAUAUUAAAAGCAGAGAAAUGGCUCACAAAGCUUUCUGUCCUAGAGAAUCGGUGAAGGCUUCUCAGAGGCAUUGGUACGGGAGGUGAGGCCGAGCUAACCAGAUCCUUUUGUGGCCACUGGGUAUGUUCAGGGAAGGAGAAAAGUCAACGGAGUCCUGUUUUUUAGGUACCUGGUAGGGCUUCAUCUUGCAUGUUUUUAGAGGAGUACUUCUUCAGAGUAUAUACCUUGAGACAGCUGCCUGUUUGUAGACAUCCCAGUUUAUAUCAGACACCGUAGGUGGCAAUUUUAUGUCAGUUAUUUUGAUUUCUUACAGCAACCCUGUAUACUCAAGACCAUUAUUCAGUUUUCAAAAUGGUCCAAGGUCAGGAUGGAUAAAUACCUCACCCCAAUGUACACACAGGGUAUGUUUCAUCUCGGAGGCACAGAAAGCACUCAGGAGCAGAGAACCUGUGAGCAAGCACACACUGCCUGCGGGAGCCUGGCUGAGCCUGAGUCCCGCCCGUUCUCCUGUCAGGGCCAUUGUGAGCCUCUCAUCAUCAGAGCUCAGAUGGGCACCUGCUUAUCUACGGACUCGCUACCUCCUCUCCCUGCAGCCCUACCCCCACCAGUUUCAGUUUUGAUUUAGCUCUUUGUUCCAACCCUGACUGUAACAUAUGGCCUAGGCCAGGAGGAGGCUUCUGCCACUCACAGGCCAAAAAGCCUUGAUGCCUCUCCGCUAUGAAGUUCUUUUCAAAGUAUGUGGGAAAGCAUCGUCGUCCUCUUCUCGCCCACCUCUCUCCCCACGCAUCCCCACACAUACCAUCUUUUAGGCAAAGCACAGCAGCCAAUGGGAGUGGGGACUAGGCAGCCCAGAAGUAGGCUUCAGCUACAACUUCUCUCUGGUUGUUUCUUUGAGUCACAAAUAAAACUAUGUCUCAUUGACCUCUUGCUUCUCAAAGGCAGAGUGGAUAUUGUUUGUAGCUCAUUUUCUCCAGGCAGUUUUAGCAAAGUAUGCUUUCAGAGAUAUCAUGUAACUGAAAGACAGAAUUAAGUAAGAAUGGCAGAAUUCUGGCAGCAAGUAGCCUCCUGCUCGUGUUUUUCAUUGAAAAGCAUAUAGGAUUACCUUAUUGUUCCAGAUAUUAGCUUUCUGUACCCAGCAUAUACAUAUUUAAACAGCAUAACAAAUGGGCUACAUUAUAAAGCACCUAUAUGUCACCAAGGCCCAGAAAGCCUGUGUUGUGCCAAGGCCUGGAGACAUCCUUCCAAGUUUCCUCGCAUCUGAGAGGCAGAUUGUCUCAGUGCUUGGGGUGGGCCAGCCAGCCUGAGUUUAAUAGCAAACAUUCUUAGGGUUUUUUUUUUUCCAGAUCCGUGUAUAAAACAACUUUCAUUUGAAUGUGACAUCUGCCUGCAAAGGAGCAAAUCCCCAGCACCACUGGUACAUCCUGCCAGGCCAAAAACUGGAGAGGCUCUAUUUGGGUUUUUCUUCAAACGCUGUGGCUCCGGCUCCAGACCGUACCCAUGCCUGCUCUAGAGAACGUUAUCAACCUGUGGUUCAGGGUUAAGGGUUGGGGUUGGGGUAUUGUUAGUGUUUUCAUCACCAGCUGCAAUGCACAGUCUGACAAUCACCAUGCCCGCAGAUCAAAGGCAAGGGGAGGUGUUAUCUGCUGCCAGCUGUGCUGUGACUCUAAGCACAUUUCUGGUGAGCUGACCCCAAGGUGAGUUGCCGGGGGAGGCCGUUCUCCAGCGGAUGACUGGGCGUGGGCUCAUGUAGGAUGGUGCUCUAAGGACAAAUCCUCUGUCCUUUCCUUUUGGGUAGUUCCGCCGUGCCUAGCCAUAAACGCAUGGGAUGUUUUUGGAACUGGUGUUCGAUUGCCAUGGGGAGAAGCAUGUCAGUUUGUAGGAAGAUUGGCCUGGUGGAAGUGACGCACCCUGAAUCAUCACCCAAGGUCUGCCACUGGUUUGCCUUCUGACUUGGGAUGAGACCCAAGCUCCCUCCAAUCACACUGACCCCUCACCCGGUCCCGUCACAGAGCGUGGCCCCUCCCAAUUCUGCUUUUCACCCGGUGCACUCACUAGUGGGAUAUUUCGCUUUAUAUUCCUUGCAGAGCACAUUGAGCCUUUGUCCCCAGGACUUGUCCUACAUACUUCUCCUUUAGGAUUGAUGAGCAUUUUCUUAUUCCCUUAAAAGAGAAAUCUGUCCCUUCCUCUGCGCUCCCAUUGUUGCACAUAUCUGCUGGAGAGUUUACUGCCGGGCAUUGUUUAUGUGUCUGUCACUGUCAGAUGUGAGCACCUCGAGGGUGACCUAUUCACUCUGUUCUCCAGAUGCCUAUUAUGGCACCUGGCAAGCAGAGCUGAGGAGAUGUUAGGUGAAUGAAUGCAUGCAUAAGAGAGCAGGCGGAUGAAAGAGACGAAGUAUUCUCUGCAUCCUUAGAAAGAAAGCAUUUCCUUUGGAUAUAGGCAGGAGGAAAUUUCUGCAGGAGGAAAUGUUUCCUGAUCUUCUGGUUGCUCCCAUUUUUUCCAUCAUGUCUACAGUUGCUAGAGGGGGAAAUCUGCUCUCUCAAGUUACUAUCUUCCCUCUCUCUCAUAUUCAUACUCGUGGUUCAAGCCCUGUUAACCUUCACCUUUGUUAAAGCGUGAAGUUUCUUACCAGAAAAUGCUCUGAUCCCUCUCAAAUCAUAAUGUCUAGCUUCUUCUGACAAUUUCUGAUAAGCCAUCGCUCUUCUCUCUGUACAAAAUAUAUUUCUUAUGCUACCCAGAUCCAUGCAACUUUGCUAGUCCUCGCUCUGGGUCUUAGCCAUUUGUAUCCUACAGACUAAAAGAUCUGAGCAUGGUUUUGAGCUAGUCCCAUAGUUACGAUGCCAUGUUGCUGCAGCUGCUGGUUGAGGAGUCUUAUAUAAUAUGUGACUGACAAAGGGAGACUGACUAGAUGCCUAAGGGCUCUGAUCCAAGGAAGCCUGAUGACAUAAUCUAGGAGUUAAUAGAUUUUUACCAGUGGGAGGCAGGGACAGGAGAAAGUCAUUGGAGAAAGUAUUCACCCUUCCUCAACCCCAUGUAGUCUUCUGAGGACAGGUAGUUCAUACUGUGCAUGUCUCUUUCUCGAGAUGAUGUGAGAAAAAGAAAAACCGCCCAUGUUUUCUCAUGAGGCUGUGCCCAAAUGGGCAAUGCACCCCCUCAUCUUUGCAUUUGUUCCUCCUGCAGCUUCCCUUCUUAUUUCUGUUCUGGUGCUCUGGGCUGCUCUCCCAAGCGUUAGCAAAUAAGCUUUUCCCUCAGUCUCUGUUUUUGACAGACCCUGGGCUAAGACAACUCCUUGGCCAACUCAGGUUAGUUUGACCUCCUUUGUGUUCCCAUAACAUGGGGGGGUGCAUAUAUAUCUCAUUUCCACAUGACAUCACAAUUAUCUCUUUAUGUGUCUCUUUCUUUUUCUGGAUUAUAUAUCUCUUAAAGUCAGAGACUACAUUGUACUUAUUUUUGAAUCUCUGGCACCUAGCACAGUGCCUGGCAUAAAUUAGACUCUGAAAAUAGUAAAUAUUUGCCGGAUGACUGACUGUAAAAGAGAGCUAGAUUUCCUCUGAUCAGGGAGAGAUUCCAGCAGACCUAAGAAAUAUUUUAAACGGUUCACCAUCUCAAUGUGUGGUCUCUUUUGGCUUCACCUAAAUUGAGUCAGGGAUGCUGCUAGUAAUUACAUCACACUAUAAGAUUAUAGCUAUAUCCAGGAAUAAUGAUAAUAAUUACUACAAUAUGCUUGGCACCUACAUAUUACCAUGCUGUUAGAUAUUUCACAUACAUAAUCUCAUUAUUGCAGCAAACAUAUUAGGUUGUUAUCACAUACUUGGGACUUUGGGGAUAUGUAGCUGGACAAGUGGCCCUGACAAGACAUUCCUCAGAGUAUGUUAAAGGUUGUUUUAAUUAUAGUUUUUUAAAUGGGGGUUUCCAUAGUGGUUAAUACUGUAUCUACCAGAAUCUAUGCCAAUUGGCACAUAAAUGCUCAAGGGCAGAGUGCUUUAAAAAGAAAAGAAUUUCAUUCUCAAUUAACACAAAUGUGACUUUACAGCCAACACUCUUACUCCACCUUUUGCUCAUAUGAAUGUGCAAGUUAUGUGGUGACACGAACUCAGGAUCAUAGAACUAGUCACCUCUGUCACCCUGCCUUUCCCUGGUUCCACUAAGGUUUUAGGAGUGAGCAAGAUACAACAGAGGGAGUUAUGAUCAGGACACAUUAUGGGAUAAUUAUGGGACUGAAAGUUAAGCUUCACCUGUUCUAUAAAUCUUCUCAAAUCACAUAAAUAAUUUGCAUGAGUAUUUCAAAGGUGCAAUUUUCCAGGGUAAGGGUUGUAACAAAUUCUUAAACGGACUAAGGGUCACUGAUUUUAAUUCUACUUAAACUUCCAGCUUGAGGAAGGCUAUGAAGAAUGGGAACAGAGCUCUGUGCCUCAGAGGUCCCUGUUGGACAACUGAAUUCUGAAUGACCAGGAAUCUCAGGAAGAAACUCCCCUGAUCAUUCAUGCUUUAGGCACCUGAGUUGAAGCUUAGGUAUAAAGGAACUCAUAGUAUUUGCUCUUCUGUUUCAAAACUGUGUCCUCCCUUUAGUGUGGCUCUGUUGUCAGGAUUUCAUAUUGUGAUGUAAUCCAGCACAACUUGUCCAAAACAAUAUUAGAUUUAUUCCAUUUGUUAAAAGAAGAUAUCACUAGUAUGUGGCCCUUUUGGCAAAAUCUCAACUCUUAGUUCUAGGCAUGGGUUCAAUCACCUGUUGCUAAGAUACUGCAAAAAAUAUUAUCUGUUUUUAAAUGUUGCUUUUUAAUUGAAUAUACUGCUGCUUUGAAAUAUCAGUGCAAAGGUUAAAUAGGUCUUUGAAAUCAUAUAUUCUUUUUUAACUGAGUAUUUUAAAGGGAGCAGCUGCUGUCUCAGUGAAGUUCCUUGAUGGAGUUUUAAAAUCUCACAGAAAGGAACACUCCUAGAACAACUGCAUUAUGGAUAUAGCAGAGGGAGACAAUCAGAAAUGUUCAUGCUGAAAAUGCUAGUCACAUUCGUUGAUUCUGCAUCAAAGGUAUGAAGAAAAAUGCAUACAUGGGUCCAGAAUUCCAAUUAGCAUCUCCAUUAGCUCCAUUCAAUUUUUUUUUUUGCUUUUGUUUUUGUUUUUGUUUUAUUUCAGAAUGGUAAUACAGAGCAUAUGUCCCUGUAACAGUCUGGGCCAGCACCUCAUAAUCAAAAUCAUUAAUAUUUGUUUGACAAAACAUUGUAGUGUUUAUGCUAAGUUCUCCUAUCAGUUCAGGUCCAACUCUGUGGUCAAGUAAGUUUUCUCAGACUUAGGAAAGCACUUGGGUGUGAAGAACAUUUUUGAUGUUUGUAAUGCAGAUAGGUGAUUGUGGACCAUUAAAAUGGAGAGAAACUUCAGGAUAUACAUGAUUCAGAAUAAUUUUAGUAUCAAUUUAGACCCCUAAUAGCCUGGCCUGUAGCCAGGUUGGGAGCCAGGAGUCCAGCAGGCUGUAGGGAAUGGAUUGAAUACUCCCACGAAGUCCAGACUAGGCAAAGUUAGCAGUGACCAGCAGGGAGGGACAGAGGUCUACAACCGUGGUUAACACUUGCAAGGUCUGAUAAGAAGAAGAAGCACUUAUGAACAAAACAAGUGACAUAAACUAGGAUUCAUACUAUUCUGGAAGUAUUAGAAGUGUUAUGAGAUAGUGAAUAUAGAGCCUCUAGAUUAUUCUGACACCAAUAAUAUCAUCCCUGUCUCUGUCAUUUCCUGUAUCCCUAUGGAUAUGGCAAAGGGAAGCAGAGUUACUUUAACCAAAUGAAAGGGAUUUCCCUAUGAUAACAUUGGGUGGGUGGCUAGUGAGAUGGCUUUAGGAGAGUAUUUUUGACAGGAGGGCCCUGUGCAUCUAUGAGAGUAAAUUGUGGACUGCCCAGGGAGUACUACCUCCCUGGGGAGUAAGACGGAUUGUCUUACAUUGGAAUCACAUUAUUGUAAUGACCUAGGGAUCUUAAACAGAACUCAGAGAGGUUGGCUGUGAUGGAGUAGAUAAAGCUCUAGUCCAAGGAACAGAAAUCCAUCCCGGUCCUCGGUCUCAGAUUUGCUUUGCCUUUAGGAAAUUAGUUACUAUCUCUGUCUUUGGUUCUUCUUCUCUAAAACAGAGACAGCAACAACCUUAAAGGGCUAUUGUAAAUAUUAAAUGAAAAAUAUAUGUAAAAGCAUCUGUUGAAUAAUAUACACUCAAAUACAUGUGGAUGUUUUAGAAAUUCUGUUACCUGGAGAGUCAGUAUAAUGAAAGUUAAAAAUAUCAUUCUAUGAUAGACUAGAUUUUUUGAUGUUAGGAUAGGGAGAUAUGUUAGUGUAAUCAUCUGCAAAGUCAUUAGAUCAAGAAUUACUUUAGUUGUCAUCUGGAAUAUAACACUGAAAAAUAUUAAAAACUCUACUUCAAUAUGUAUUUAUUAAGCAACAUCUUCAUCUUCAUUGUUUUGUUUUGUUUCGUUUAUUUUUACAAAGUAGAGUGUUAUCUAGACCCUCUGUGACUAGGAACUACACAAAGUCAAAUCCACUCAAAGUAACCCUAUAUAUUCACUUAAUUAUUAGAGCAAAACCAUCUAAAUAUAACCCCACAAUGAUUCACAGUGAACUAAAGAAUUAAGAGACAAUAAUUAAGUCAGCAAGUACAACCCUAUGGUUCCAGUUUAACAAAGGAAUGGGAAUGGGCGAAAGGAGUAGAACUUAAUUCUUAUCUACCAUGACAGGAAAAUGAGAGAUAGUAUCUAAGACAGGUGGGACAAGAGACCAAUUACAGGUAUGUUGUUAAAUGCCUGAAGAAAUAGUUCUAGAAGGAGUUGGCUGUGAAUUGAGGAAAAGGAUAUAGGGGAAUGUAUAAUGUAUAUACAUAGAUAUCAAUAUGUACAUACAUAUCACACAUGUACGUACAUUUUAUACUUUUUAACA